GACGCUGGCGGUAUGCUUAGCACAUGCAAGUCGAACGGCAGCACAGGAUAGCUUGCUAUCCGGGUGGCGAGUGGCGGACGGGUGAGUAACGCGUAGGAAUCUACCUUUUCGUGGGGGAUAACCCGGGGAAACUCGGGCUAAUACCGCAUACGCCCUACGGGGGAAAGCGGGGGACCUUCGGGCCUCGCGCGGAAUGAUGAGCCUGCGUCCUAUCAGGUAGUUGGUGAGGUAAUGGCUCACCAAGCCGACGACGGGUAGCUGGUCUGAGAGGACGACCAGCCACACUGGGACUGAGACACGGCCCAGACUCCUACGGGAGGCAGCAGUGGGGAAUAUUGGACAAUGGGGGAAACCCUGAUCCAGCAAUACCGNGUGUGUGAAGAAUGCCUUCGGGUUGUAAAAGNCUUUUUANCANGAAAGAANGGCCGUGCGCUNAUACCGYAUGGNUCUGACGUUACUNGCNUAANNAGCACCGGAUAACUCCUGCCUUCANGCCGCGGCCUAA
rnacentral:rRNA from 1 species